UGGCUUUAUGCUCUCAGGCCACCUCACU
rnacentral:piRNA from 1 species